AUGCUGAUCCCAAGCACAGGGUACAUCUAUCCCUCUGCAAAACCAGUGAAACCCAGGAGUGGAGGCUCUCAGCAUAAGCCAAAGAGUGAUUUUCUGCAGCCACCUUGUGUCGAAAAUGGAAAUUACAGCUCUCAAAAUAUUUUACUAAGUACAGCAGAGCCCUGCUUCAGCAAGAUGCUCAAUAAAUCAACAGAAAUCAGGGGGUCAGAAACCAGGAAUCACUAUUGCUUGAGCUGCAGUGUGCAGUCCUACAAUCCUCCUAUCUGAUGGCACCGCAUCUGCUCUAGGCACAAAAAGCAAGAUGUUAGCACACACGGAACUAGGAAAAGUAAGUGCUUUGUCAUUGAUAUAACCCUCAUUUCUCUUUUCUCAAAUCACGCAUUUAACUUAAAUUCAGGGAAGAGACAGAAGUGACAGUUAUCAUUUUCCGUGGCAGAUUUGUAGAAAUGACGUGUUAUUUCCCCAUUCACUGGAAAAAGGAAAAAAAAAAAAAAGCAUCUGCCCACUGUUCUUCUGUGGCAAUACUCUCAUAUCUUCCACCUCACCACCACUGAAACAAUGAUUUCCACUUGGCAUCGCUUAAGACAAUUCACUCCUUUGAAUAUUCAACUCGGAACAGUUAACUCAGAGGGAGGCUGAGUCAGAGGCUUUUUGGAAGAAGUCUCCCUCUUCUCUGGUUAUACAGAUAGGCUGCAGGUACUAACCUGCAUGCUUGUUUAUUCCUGGAAAUUAGGCCUCUGCAUUUGGGUGAUGUCAAUAGCUUUCCUCCAUACAUUACAAGAUUGUGAAACCUUUGUGUCUAUGUGGAAAUGGAAGCCCAAAGCUACCUAUUAAAAGCAAACAUAUUGCCUUCAGCCAGGUCAUGCUGGGCAAUGUUUUCCAGUAGCAAAUAACUCCUGUCCUGCUGUUGGAAUUACUGGGACACAGGGAGCAAAACACAGACCCUUGUUGUGCCCUCUGCCAACAAGCCAGCCUCCAAGGAAAUAAUCCUAACUUUAUACCUCCUGGAUGGGCUUUUAAAGAGAAUUUUAAACUACAAGAGAUACUCUGAGAAAAGCAGAAGCAGCCAAAUAAGCCAAAACAGAAAGCAGGUUACAACUCCAGCCUGUCAGGGAAGGAAACGGGUUGUAGUUUAAGUCAGUUGUGAAAGAAACAUGGAUUGUACCGGUGUUCAACAGAUGAGAUCAAUGGGAUGUAACAGCAGUAUCAAUAUGAUAAAUUAGAGGAAUUACUCUAAACCACCAAGCAACAGGGGACAUGAAUUACAGUUUGGUAUUUUGUUUACAGGCCAGGCAAGGUCAAACUACUGUUAUUAUUGCUCAUCGGCUCUCCAGCGCUCUGACUGCAGAUGUAAUAGUGGGCAUUGUGGAUGGCGCAGUGGUUGAAAUGGGAACACACACAGAGCUGAUGGAGAAAAAGGAGCCAGAUUAUUCACUUACAACCUCACAGGUACUUUUAUUAUUAUUGCUAUUAUUAUUUAUAUAAUCAUAGCAUGCAGGAUGAUCUAUCACAGACCGAGUUCCCACUAAACCUAGUUUUAUUUGUGAGAGCUGGAAACAUGGCCAUCCCUAGAUGCUUCUGUUACUCAGCAAUUUUACAAUGCUGGAUUCUUUUAUGCAGCAUAAUGACUUUGUUUAUUUGUGAAAGUCUCAGAUGAUCUCUAAAAGAAAGCCUUGUUCAUGCCUCAGCCAUAUCCUAGCAUGAUUUAAAAUGGCACUUAAGCACACGUGCAGAAGCACUGAGUGACAUAAGAGCCAUACCUCGACCUCCAGUGGGAAAACACUUCUGUGCUGAGCUGUCACUGCUGCCAGGCACUGAGACAUCUCCAGAAUCAACCCAUCUCCAAAUUCGGCCACACCUUUCUUGUAAUUCAGCUCCUCUGUAAGAUGCCUGCAGCAGCUGUGCCUGUAAUCUCAGGUAGAAGUGUGGGUGAAGGUUUUCACUGUUCAAAAUGGGGUCUAAAGACAAGGUCAGCAGCCUAGGCUGUAACUGUGGGACCUACCUGUGUUGUGGGAGCCAAACUAAAACCAAACCAAUAGGAGGACACAAAAUUUCCCAACACUGCCAGCCAAAUAUUGGUUUUGUGCAGACAUUAAAAGCCUGGAUCACUUUUCCCAAGCUGAUCUACCUCCAUCAGCAAAAUGAAAAGUACAAAUGAAGACAUAAGAAGGACAGAGGGAGGCCAGGUACAUAUGGGUUCUCCAUCAUGCCACCUAAUUAGGGUUGAGCGAUUGUCAACACUAACAGGCAGAAAAGUGCUGGCAGUAUUACAGAAGAGACAAAGUCUUGACUGAGCACAUUGUCAGUUCACAUACCAUUUGUCAUAGCAUAACUUUAGACACUCCUGUCUACCACAACCAAGUUAAAAUGGAUAGUAAAAAUAGUGGGUCCAGAUUUCCAGAGGUUACUAAAGCACAUUAAAAACUAUGUUCUUUAAAGCAUCUUUAAAACAUAUACUUAUCUGGCCCUACCCAGGAAUGCCGUGUGAACCAUUUGGUAGGUGUGGUUCUGCCAUGGCUGGAAGUGUGCUAUGGCCAGGCAGUCCUGCUGGCCUACUGCCUAGGAUUAGCUACCUGAGCUUUUUUGUGUGUGUGGAGGAGGUGGUUAGAGCUAUAAAGAACUCACAACAGAAAAAUCUUGAAAUCUGGUCCUACCUGGCCUUAUCAGAAUCUUUGUUAAACCGUAGACACUGACAAACAUGUACCCACCAAUUGCAGCAUCCACCAAAGACAUUUCCUGAAGAGUUUGCCAAAACAUUCAAAACAAUGGGAUUCAAAGUUGUCAAUGCCUGUAGGAAUCUACUGUUUGCUUGCAAACUUUGCUAUUUGAAGAGAUGCUGAGUAAUUACAUCUGUCAUUGUAGUCAAUGGAUGCUUGCAGGAAUCUUUCAAAAUUGCACAGAAUUAGCCUUUCUGAAGGAAAACAAGUAUAGUUUUCCUAGGGCUUGAAACAACACAUUCACCCUUUUUUCACUUUUUUUUUUCCCUUUAGACUUAUACAUAGUUUUCCUACUAAGGGAUAAUAGUUUUCCUACUAAGGGAUAUGUUUAUAGCUUUACCCAGCAAUAGCUUUGAGAAAUGUUGCUAAUUUGACGAGAUGAAUAAAUUUAAAACAGAAUACCA
ensembl:lncRNA